GACGAACGCUGGCGGCGUGCUUAACACAUGCAAGUCGAGCGGAGACAUAUUGAGGAAGUUUUCGGAUGGAAUUGAUAUGUUUUAGCGGCGGACGGGUGAGUAACGCGUGAGCAACCUUUCCUCUACUGGGGAAUAACACAGGGAAACUUGUACUAAUACCGCAUGAGACCACGGGAGGGCAUCCUCCAGGGGUCAAAGAUUUAUUGGUAGAGGGUGGGCUCGCGUCCGAUUAGGUAGUUGGUGAGGUAACGGCCCACCAAGCCGACGAUCGGUAGCCGACCUGAGAGGGUGAUCGGCCACAUUGGGACUGAGACACGGCCCAA
rnacentral:rRNA from 1 species